CAGCUAUUUACAGAUGGCAUAAGGACUUGGAAACGCUGCUUGUUCGGCUCUUUUAAAGGACUAUGAUGUUCUACUUUAUUCUGAUCCACGUUUCGUGCCUCAUUGAAUUACUUCUGAUCACAUUUCUGAGUUUACAAACUGCAGCUUGAAUACAGAUUUCUACAUAAUACCCAUACAAACCAAUAAAGCUGCUAAAGAUGGAAACUCCAGCUGGAGACAUCUCUGAGUACAGCAGCAUAUUGUACUAUGUUUAUAGAUUAGCUAGAGACCUGUGACUGUUGUACUGAAAUCUUAGACUGUUUCAUAGAGCCUUGCCUCUCUAUGGAGGAAAGAGGGAGUAGUCCACAGUAGGUCCACAUUUAGUCAGUGAUAACUCUUGCUAUCAGUGCUGAUGAUAAGUAAAAAUAUAACUAGUUCAGAACACAAUUAAAGGAGAAAUUUUCAGACUAAAGCUACUACUUAUUGCUUUGCUUCCUUUGAAAGCAGACUUCUGCACUCAGUUUUCUCUUCUCUACUGACAUUUGUAACAACUGAAGAGAUUUAGAAAGCAGAUGUUUGGAGAACGGAUUGGUGUGAGCAGUGUGAACUGUUAAAUCAAAAUCAAGAGCCAGCUAGGUUAUCUGUAUUAUUUAAGAGCAGUUAUAGCUGAGAUGCUAUCAAAUAUCACUGAAAAGGAAUUUCAUCUUCAUUAGCAAUCUGAAUUACAAAGGAAAAUCCUCUUCCAUUCAUCUCUGUAAGUUGGUUAGUUUGGUUUUGGAUAUUUUUUCCUUUCUAUUCACUUACAACUUCUGAGGUGCACUAACUUAAGUAUUCUGGACUUAGAACUGCUCUGAUCCAGGAACAAAUUCACUGGCAGGUGUGGUAUAUUUGCCUCUCAGGAUAGUAAUUCCUUCAUAGAGGAACUGGGCAGACAGUUACUCUUGUUGCCAGCCACUUAUGCCUAGUCCUAGUCCUUCUGAAUUCUUUCCCUGAUUCUGAAAUAGUUCAAAGUACAACCUCUAGAGAAAGCAGAGGUUUUUUCUUUCAUACUGACACUACUGAGAUGCUUUUUGGAUUUUCCUGUAUCUUUUUAGAUUUUGCCUUUUGAGGUAUAUUCUGCAGGUUUUGUAUUUUGUUGCUGUGUGGCAUAGGCAUUAGUAGAAUCAGCUGACUAUGAAAUGUUCUCUGUUUAGUCAGAGCAAGCAAAAUAAUCAAGCCUUACAGUAUUGCUAUAGUAUCAUGGCAGCAUACUCUGGUGAUUCAAACACUGCAGAACUAGAAAUUAAUAUGUUUAUAAGCUGUUAUAAAACGGAAUUUAUGAAGACCUCAGAGAUACUGAAGAUACUUGAAGAUGCUUCUCUAGGCUGAACCUAACAUUUAUAGUUACGUCCUUGUCUUUUGUGGCCCACAGAAGGUGUCACAGGUCACCAAAACCAACCAAUAACUUGUGUUAGACCUAGAAUCAUUAUUAGUUGUCACCAGCUGGCUUUCACCCUGUCUCCCUGAUAGGUGGAAGGGCAUUUCAAUAUGCUUUUCAGAUAAAGCACUCUCCUAAUGGAGAUCAAUAAAAGGCCUCUGAUUAGCUGAUGUUGCUUUGGGCAUCUGGUAUCUAUAUUGGAGGACACAUAGUCAGCAAGCAGACUAGCAAAAUACUAUAAAAGGGCAUUCAAAGCAAAACUUCACUUCCUUUCUAUAUUGUGAAAUUAAAGCUGUACUAUUUCUAAAGGACAUCUGGUAUGCCAGAAAAUGUAUAUCACUGCGGUUGUAACCCACGGGCAAGCUUGGAACAACACUGUGUAUCACAAAAGGUGCCUAAGGAAAAUAGACAAAAUGAAAACUGAAAGCUCUGACAUCUGUAGCUGCUGGUGUGCUGUUAAAAUAAGACCGAUCUUCUCCCCAAAGAAGCCGCAAGGACUGGAUUCCCGGAUAUUGACUUUAUGGAAGAUUUCUUCACUACAUUUGUGAGAAUUACAGAAGAGGGCUUUUCAAUGUCAGCAGUGUAUGGAUGCAGUACAGUACUGUGUCUCUCAGAACCAUCGGGCCACCUACCAGUUCCACCUCAAUCACCGGCCUGAUAAUUCUCAGUGGAAGGCCAUGAACAAAGAGCACCUCAACUUCUCCUUCUGAAUAUGCUGGAAUAUUGAAGCAACGCUCUACUUAAACAACGCGCAUUUCAGAUGACAGGGCUCUAAUACAUAUCUUGCUGGAUGGCAACGCACCAAACAAACUGCAGUUGAACCAGUGCUCUGCUUUGCUUUCUUCCCAGUUCACGUAGCCACAUCUCUUCUUUUGUGAUUGUUUUUCUAGAAUGAAGCUCUCUGCAGGAGGGCUGGAAUGUACUGGUGGAGUUGAGUACUCUUCCCUCCGGGAUACCUCAGAGUAGUCAUUUGCUCAAACUUGUACACAGUAAUAAAAUCUUCUCCAUUUUGUCAACCUUUAUUUUUAUUUUUUUAUUUUUUUUAACAAAAGGCUAUGACCAUGACAAAACCAUUAACACACACAUAUAUAUAAAUAAUAUAUAUAAAUAAACAAAUAAAUAAAUAU
rnacentral:lncRNA from 7 species